rnacentral:rRNA from 1 species
AGGACAAACGCUGGCGGCGUACUUAAGACAUGCAAGUCGAACGGGCGCUUCACCUUCGGGUGGGUGUGCUAGUGGCGGACGGGUGAGUAACGCGUAGGAACCUGUCAUCAAGAGGGGGAUAACGCUGGGAAACCGGCGCUAAUACCGCAUGUGGUCAUGAAAAUGAAGAAAGCAGCAAUGCGCUUGAUGAGGGGCCUGCGUCCGAUUAGCUUGUUGGUGGGGUAAAGGCCUACCAAGGCAUCGAUCGGUAGCUGGUCUGAGAGGAUGGUCAGCCACACUGGGGCUGAGACACGGCCCAGACUCCUACGGGAGGCAGCAGUUAGGAAAUUUUCCCAAUGGGCGCAAGCCUGAGGGAGUAACGCCGCGUGGAGGAUGACGGCUUUCGGGUUGUAAACUCCUUUCUGUGGGAAGAGUAGAAGACGGUACCGCAGGAAUAAGCCUCGGCUAACUACGUGCCAGCAGCCGC